rnacentral:rRNA from 1 species
UGGGGAAUUUUGGACAAUGGGGGCAACCCUGAUCCAGCAACGCCGCGUGAGGGAUGAAGGUUCUCGGAUUGUAAACCUCUUUUACAGGGGACGAAUCACGCCGUGAAGAACGGCGAAUGACGGUACCCUGUGAAUAAGCCACGGCUAACUACGUGCCAGCAGCCGCGGUAAUACGUAGGUGGCAAGCGUUACUCGGAAUUACUAGGCGUAAAGCGCAGGUAGGUGGUGUGAUAAGUCCGUAAUGAAAUCUCCCGGCUUAACUGGGAGGGGUUUAGGGAUACUGUCAUGCUUGAGUGUGGGAGAGGUCACUGGAAUUCCUGGUGUAGCGGUGAAAUGCGUAGAGAUCAGGAGGAACACCUAUGGCGAAAGCAGGUGACUGGCCCAAUACUGACACUGAGCUGCGAAAGCUAGGGGAGCAAACAGGAUUAGAUACCCCCGUAGUCC